rnacentral:rRNA from 1 species
CACGUAGGGUGCGAGCGUUGUCCGGAAUUAUUGGGCGUAAAGAGCUCGUAGGCGGUCCGUCACGUCGGAUGUGAAAUUCCAGGGCUCAACCCUGGACCUGCAUUCGAUACGGGCGGACUAGAGUUCGGGUAGGGGAGACUGGAAUUCCUGGUGUAGCGGUGAAAUGCGCAGAUAUCAGGAGGAACACCGGUGGCGAAGGCGGCUCACUGGCCCGGUACUGACGCUGAGGUGCGAAAGCGUGGGGAGCAAACAGG